rnacentral:rRNA from 1 species
UACGGAGGAUCCGAGCGUUAUCCGGAUUUAUUGGGUUUAAAGGGUGCGCAGGUUGUUUGAUAAGUCAGUGGUGAAAGUCUGUCGCUUAACGGUAGGAUUGCCAUUGAUACUGUUAGACUUGAAUAUGGAUGAGGUAGGCGGAAUGUGUAGUGUAGCGGUGAAAUGCAUAGAUAUUACACAGAACACCGAUUGCGAAGGCGGCUACCUGGACCAACACUGACACUGAGGUGCGAAAGCGUGGGGAGCAAACAGGAUUAGA